rnacentral:rRNA from 1 species
GCUUACGGCCACACCGCCUGGUUCAUGCCCGAUCUCGUUUGAUCUCCGGAAGCUAAGAUAGGUUGGGCCUGGUUAGUACUUGGAUGGGGAGACCGCCUGGGAAUACCAGGUGCUGUAAGGC